GGCAUCAUAGCUCAGCUGUCUGAAGCCAUGGCUAUCGUAAAGCCUUCCCAUUGCUAUCGUGGGUUCGAAUCCCACUGAGGCUG
rnacentral:tRNA from 1 species